ACAAGAGUCAACAACCUCAAGAAUUAGUUGCCAAAGAUGUACAUGGAAAUGAUUGGUGUUUCCCGCUCAUCUAUCGUGGUGAGAAAAGGAGGCAUUUGCUGACAGCUGGGUGGAGAGUCUUUGUUAACUCCGAAAGGCUUGUAGCAGGAGAUGCAUUCAUCUUUAUGAGGGAUAAAAAUGGCGAACUACAUGUAGGGGUCGGCGUGCCAUGCAUCAGCG